AGCCCUCUGUGGAACACAGGUUGUUUGUUUGGACUUUAUUGGGAUUUUUUCCAGACCGACUCCCCCCUCUACGCGUCGUCUCCGCUAUUUGAAAAUACUUUGAGGACAUAACCUUCCCAGAUCCACGACAGCCCCCAAAGCUCCCUCACGGAUUCCCUCACGGCUUUUGAAUAUCUGAUAGUGACUGUUUGACUCAUGACAUGCCUUCUCUAGUUGAUUGCUUACACUGUGCCUUAUUAAAGUUUUUGUUAAUGAGGCAUUCAAUGUAAAAUAGGAAUUCUGAGUUGUGCCUCACUUCUAGUUCUCUUGAAUGCUUUCAUAGCUAGGAUAAGGUUCGUUUCUGCCUUCCUGAAUUAGCGUUAAAGGGUUAAUCAUAUUAGUCUGGCGUUUUCCUAGUUUUCUUGCCCUCCUUAGUUGCACUCGUCGCCAGGUUUUCCUUAAUUUCUUCUGAUUUGUUACCUUGUGUAAAUAAACGCUGUUGUCACAUUUUCA